CCAUCCUGAAUCAUAUAUCUGACGAACAUUCAUGGACUGAGGGAGGGACUGAGCACAGGUGUCUCCAUCCACCUCUCACUGAGGAAGACCGCGAGAAGAAAAGGUGGCUGGAAAAGGACAGCGAACCAUACAAACAGCUUGCAUUCGUUGUCAAUCACAAGACAUUUCAGCGGGAUUUGAAUCGCAUGGCACGGUUCAAACACACAGGUGCUUUGGAAGUCUUCCAUAGUGCCCUCUUGAAGUAUGCCCCAAAGAGGCAGUGCUUUGGUUACCAAAGCAUGAAGCAGAGGACCAACUUGGCCAUCCUCCACCACAACGAAAAUGUGAACAAAAAACCAAAGCUUGACUCAGAAGGAAAUCCUGUAAUCAUCCAGGAGGGGAGUAAAAGAUCAAAAGAGUGGGUCACAAGACAACGAUACACCUAGAGCUGGGCGGUGUACGGUUAAAAAACCGUGAUCUCGGUUUACACUACACAAGGUUCUCUUUUUGAUGAGAGACGGUUUUGUUGUUGUUGUUUAUAGCCUACUAUAUUAUGUGCGUGAGCUUCAUACUCCGUGUCACACUUCCAAAGAUUCUUCUAAUUCAUAAGUCUCUGACACUUCAUUUCAACUCUGCUAAGUCCACUGUUGUUGCUGUUCUACUAGGAAAUGUCACCACAAUGUAAGAUGUUGAUUGCACUAAUCAAAUAAUUGGUUACGCGCUAGAGGCUAGUGAGAGUGAAACAUGAUGAACACACAUGGCAUGGAUGAAUCAUGACAAACAUUUCAAUUCAUUUAGCCUACCUUGGAUCUCACAAAGUUAAAUAAAAGGCAAUUCUAUGUGGUGCUAUGUUAACAGGCUACAACAGUUAUCUGAUUCUUAACUGUAUUUAAUUACCAUCCCAACUGUGUGCGCAGCACAGCUGUUAAGACUGCAUAA